UCGUGCCACAAUGAUGGGGACUCGGUUCUUCCCCGCCUAGCGGCUGUCACUUUGCUGGAGUCCAGACGGCUGUAUUACCGAAGAAAAUAACUGGUCCCAAACUUUAACAACAAUACGCUGGAGCCCAGACAUAGAUAAGAAAAAUAAUGGUGGCCGUUUUGAUGUCAAAGUUCAUUCAAAGAUAAAGGACUUCCAGAAAUUCCUGUGAAUUGAUAAGAAAGAAAGAA